rnacentral:rRNA from 1 species
GGAGCCGUAGCGAAAGCGAGUUUUAACUGAGCGUUCAGUUACUUGACGUAGACCCGAAACCGGGCGACCUACCCAUGAGCAGGAUGAAGCGAAAGUAAAAUUUCGUGGAGGUCCGAACCCACGAGCGUUGAAAAGCUCGGGGAUGACUUGUGGGUAGCGGUGAAAUUCCAAUCGAGCCCGGAGAUAGCUGGUUCUCCCCGAAAUAGCUUUAGGGCUAGCCUCAAGGUGAGAGAUACGGAGGUAGAGCACUGAAUGUCCUAGGGGGUAUUGCACCUACCGAAGACUAUCAAACUCCGAAUGCCGUCAUCUUAUACUUGGGAGUCAGACUGUGGGUGAUAAGAUUCAUAGUCGAAAGGGCAACAGCCCAGAUCGUCAGCUAAGGUCCCUAAAUGUAAGUUAAGUGGUAAAGGAUGUGGGAUUGCACAGACAACCAGGAUGUUGGCUUAGAAGCAGCCACUCAUUCAAAGAGUGCGUAAUAGCUCACUGGUCGAGUGAUCCUGCGCCGAAGAUUUCCGGGGCUAAAACUUACUACCGAAGCUACGGCAUCAGUAAUGAUGGGUAGGGGAGCUUCCCAUACGGGUUGAAGCAUGACCGUAAGGACAUGUGGACAGUAUGGGAGUGAGAAUGUUGGCAUGAGUAGCGAGAUGUGGGUGAGAAUCCCACAGGCCGUAAACCCAAGGUUUCCAGGGGAAGGUUCGUCCGCCCUGGGUUAGUCGGGACCUAAGCUGAGGCCGAAAGGCGUAGGUGAUGGACAACAGGUUGAUAUUCCUGUACUACCGAUAACCGUUUGAGAGAAGGGAUGACACAGUAGGAUAAGCUAAGCACACUGUUGGUUAUGUGUGCCCAAGCAUUGAGGCAGUCAAAGUAGGCAAAUCCGCUUUGAUAAUGCUGGGAUGUGAUGGGGAGCGAAAUUUAGUAGCGAAGUAGCUGAUUUCACACUGUCAAGAAAAGUCUCUAUCGAGGUUAAAGGUACCCGUACCGCAAACCGACACAGGUGGGUGAGGAGAGUAUCCUAAGGCCAGCGAGAGAACUGUUGUUAAGGAACUCGGCAAAAUGACCCCGUAACUUAGGGAUAAGGGGUGCCACCAUCAGGUGGCCGCAGAGAAUAGGCCCAAGCGACUGUUUACCAAAAACAUAGGUUUCUGCUAAGUCGCAAGACGAUGUAUAGGAGCUGACGCCUGCCCGGUGCUGGAAGGUUAAGGGGAUCUGUUAGAGCAAUCGAAGCAGUGAACUUAAGCCCCAGUAAACGGCGGCCGUAACUAUAACGGUCCUAAGGUAGCGAAAUUCCUUGUCGGGUAAGUUCCGACCCGCACGAAAGGCG